GGGAUAACUAUUCUGAUCGCAUGACCUUGUGUCGGCGACGUAUCUUUCAAGUGUCUGCCCUAUCAACUUAAGUUGGUGAGUUAGUUGCUCACCAUGGUUAUAACGGGUAACGGAGAAUCAGUGUUCGAUACCGGAGAGGGAGCCUUAGAAACGGCUACCACAUCUAAGGAAGGCAGCAGGCGCGCAAAUUACCCACUCUCAGAACGAGGAGGUAGUGAAUUUAAAUAGCGAUGAUGAACUCUUAUGAGGCUCGUCAAUCGAAAUGAGUACAAUUUAAAUCCUUUAACGAGUACCAAUUGGAGGGCAAGUCUGGUGCCAGCAGCCGCGGUAAUUCCAGCUCCAAUAGCGAAUAUUAAAUUUGUUGCAGUUAAAAAGCUCGUAGUUGGAUCCAAGGUUAGGCAUGCCUGUCUGUUCUUAGUAGCAUGACUGUGUGUGUCUGCCUUUAUUAGUUGAAUGUUCAUUAUGGUGGUCUUCGUCGACUGCUAUGAUGUGCUCAACACGUUUACCUUGAAAAAAUCAGAGCGAUCAAGGCAGGCCUUCGUGCUUGUAUGUUGUUGCAAGGAAUAAUAGAAUAGGACUUCGGUUCUAUUUUGUUGGUUUUGAGAAUUGAAGUAAUGAACAAUAGAGACAGUCGGGGGCAUUUGUAUGGUGGCGUUAGAGGUGAAAUUCUGAGAUCGUCGCCAGACAAACUACUGCGAAAGCAUUUGCCAAGGAUGUCUUCAUUAAUCAAGAACGAAAGUCAGAGGUUCGAAGACGAUCAGAUACCGUCCUAGUUCUGACCAUAAACGAUGCCGACCUACAAUCGGGGGUGGUUUAUUAUAUUGACCCUCCCGGCUGUCCUCAGGAAACUUUAAGUUGGUUCUGGGGGGAAUAUGGUCUCAAGACUGAAACUUAAAGGAAUUGACGGAAGGGCACCACCAGGAGUGGAGCCUGCGGCUUAAUUUGACCCAACACGGGGAAUCUCACCCGGUCCGGACACUGGUAGGAUGGACAGAUUGAUAGCUCUUUCUUGAUUCAGUGGGUGGUGGUGCAUGGCCGUUCUUAGUUGGUGGAGUGAUUUGUCUGGUUAAUUCCGAUAACGAACGAGACUCUGUCCUGCUAAAUAGUCCAGUGGCAUCAAUCACUAUGUGAUUACAGCUGCUGUUACUUCUUAGAGGGAUUCGCGGAUUUAAACCGCAAGAAAUAGAGCAAUAACAGGUCUGUGAUGCCCUUAGAUGUCCGGGGCCGCACGCGCGCUACAUUGACAG
rnacentral:rRNA from 1 species